rnacentral:lncRNA from 1 species
AACAAGCAAUACAUCCAAGUUGCUCAGCUAUAGUUGUGUUCCUGGUGGUCAUUAUCGGGAGGUCGUUAACAAUAAUCAAGUCCAAGAUAUGCAAGUGAUGAUGUCAAAGAAACAGAUGAAUAUAUUGGUCUGGGGUAUAGUUCAGGGUGAAGAAAUAAACUUGGCAGUUAUGAAUUUAUAGAUGAAACCUAGUCUUGGACUAUACGAUAUUAUCUAAGCAAAGAUUGUAGAUGGAGAGUUGGGCUAUGAUAACUUCCAACAUUUCAUAGUUGAGCAGAGGAGGAGGAAGAACCAGCAAGAGACUGAGAAGUAGUAGUCUGUGAGGUAAGAAGGUGAUGUCAUAGAAGUCAAGAGCAGAAAGUUUUACAAUUAGAAGAAAGUGGUCAGCUAUAGCAAAUGCUUCACAGAAGUAGUGAGGAUACAGAAUUGAUCAGAGAUAGUCAUUAGAGCCUUCAGAAAGAGCAGCUUUGGAGUGAGACAGAAAGACUAUAUUGAAUUUAUUGACGAACAAAAGAUCUACAAAUGGAGACAACUCUUGAGUUGCAACCCAAUUUCAAAAACUAAAAACGUGAAGAAUGGGAACUUGGUAAAAAAAAAACCUGCAAAUCUACCAAGGGAGAAAAAGUAUUUAUAGUAUGAAAUAAAUAUGUUGCACCUAAAGAGAGCAGCAGCUUAAUCUUUCUAUGUGAAAAAAUACACUUGUCCCAUGAUCCUCCACAAGGCAGGAGAUGGAGGAAAUAUUGCAGGAGUCUCUUUGCUGAAGUCUUUGUUAACAGCAUGACCAUGGAUGGACAGUGACUGGCAUUUAAUUUUGACAUGAGGAGGGAGGAGAAGCCAGCAAUACUCAGUGCCUCUAUUAAAGUGAAGGGAAAGACACACAGAGUCUUUUCUUGCUGCCACUUGUGUAGCUGGGAAUGGGUUGUGGUAAAGUCAAUAAAAUUCUUCAACAUCCUUCAAUAACAAUGAUUCUAGUCCUUCUGAAUGGUUCAAAUUCUAUGUUGAUACUUAUGUUCUCUAGUACAUUAUUCUCU